UACGAAGGGGGCUAGCGUUGUUCGGAAUUACUGGGCGUAAAGCGUGCGCAGGCGGCCAUCCAAGUCAGUGGUGAAAGCCCGGAGCUCAACUCCAGAACUGCCUUUGAUACUGAGGAUCUUGAGUUCGGGAGAGGUGAGUGGAACUGCGAGUGUAGAGGUGAAAUUCGUAGAUAUUCGCAAGAACACCAGUGGCGAAGGCGGCUCACUGGCCCGGUACUGACGCUGAGGUGCGAAAGCGUGGGGAGCAAACAGG
rnacentral:rRNA from 1 species